rnacentral:rRNA from 1 species
GACGAACGCUGGCGGCGUGCUUAACACAUGCAAGUCGAACGGAAAGGCCCUGCUUUUGUUGGGUGCUCGAGUGGCGAACGGGUGCGUAACACGUGAGUAACCUGCCCUUGCCUUUGGGAUAACUUCAGGAAACUGGGGCUAAUACCGGAUAGGAUCUCCUGCUGCAUGGUGGGGGUUGGAAAGUUUCGGCGGUUGGGGAUGGACUCGCGGCUUAUCAGCUUGUUGGUGGGGUAGUGGCUUACCAAGGCUUUGACGGGUAGCCGGCCUGAGAGGGUGACCGGCCACAUUGGGACUGAGAUACGGCCCAGACUCCUACGGGAGGCAGCAGUGGGGAAUAUUGCACACUGGGCGGAAGCCUGAUGCAGCAACGCCGCGUGCGGGAUGACGGCCUUCGGGUUGUAAACCGCUUUCGCCUGUGACGAAGCGUGAGUGACGGUAAUGGGUAAAGAAGCACCGGCUAACUACGUG